rnacentral:rRNA from 1 species
AGAGUUUGAUCCUGGCUCAGGAUGAACGCUGACAGAAUGCUUAACACAUGCAAGUCUACUUGAUCCUUCGGGUGAUGGUGGCGGACGGGUGAGUAACGCGUAAAGAACUUGCCCUGCAGUCUGGGACAACAUUUGGAAACGAAUGCUAAUACCGGAUAUUAUGUGAGUUUCGCAUGAAAUUCAUAUGAAAGCUAUAUGCGCUGCAGGAGAGCUUUGCGUCCUAUUAGCUAGUUGGUGAGGUAACGGCUCACCAAGGCGAUGAUAGGUAGCCGGCCUGAGAGGGUGAACGGCCACAAGGGGACUGAGACACGGCCCUUACUCCUACGGGAGGCAGCAGUGGGGAAUAUUGGACAAUGGACCAAAAGUCUGAUCCAGCAAUUCUGUGUGCACGAUGAAGUUUUUCGGAAUGUAAAGUGCUUUCAGUUGGGACGAAGUAAGUGACGGUACCAACAGAAGAAGCGACGGCUAAAUACGUGCCAGCAGCCGCGGUAAUACGUAUGUCGCAAGCGUUAUCCGGAUUUAUUGGGCGUAAAGCGCGUCUAGGCGGUUUGGUAAGUCUGAUGUGAAAAUGCGGGGCUCAACUCCGUAUUGCGUUGGAAACUGCCAAACUAGAGUACUGGAGAGGUGGGCGGAACUACAAGUGUAGAGGUGAAAUUCGUAGAUAUUUGUAGGAAUGCCGAUGGGGAAGCCAGCCCACUGGACAGAUACUGACGCUAAAGCGCGAAAGCGUGGGUAGCAAACAGGAUUAGAUACCCUGGUAGUCCACGCCGUAAACGAUGAUUACUAGGUGUUGGGGGUCGAACCUCAGCGCCCAAGCUAACGCGAUAAGUAAUCCGCCUGGGGAGUACGUACGCAAGUAUGAAACUCAAAGGAAU